AGUACUAUACUAUACUAUACUAUCUAACGAAGCCAACAUAUUGAUCGGAAAAGUCGCCGCUAUAGGUUGGUGCCAACCUAACAGUGAAUACAAAAAAAUGUGUUGAAACAAAUGCAGUUUUAUUCGUCUGAGUUUGCCUAACAAACGCUUACACUUCAUCUAAAGGUUUAGUCAAAUAUAGAGCCCUUUUAAGGCGAUUGGUUCAGUUUUGGGGAGAUUUAAAAUAUUUAGAUUUUCCAAAUAAAAUUUCCAUUUUGAUAUGUUGGUACAUUUCGUUCUGCGGGGUCGGGUACCGGCGUCUGCUAGCAUUUCAAAAGUAUUUUAGCAGUUUAAAGGGAAAUUAGAUAAAGUGAAGAUUUAAUUAACGUUGAAAAUAAGAAUAAGAAGUAAGAAUAAUGUACAAGUUACGACGUCACUAAGCAACCUACCUACAAGUGAUCAUGUAAGGUUUGGUAGGAGACUGUUUAAAUACAAACUGUCAGUUUGUUAGGUAGUAGCAGACAUUCAUGUAGCGUUUGAUUUUGAACCUUUUCAGUUGUUAAUCUAAAUAACAAUAAUUUGCAAGAUGCCAUUGUGAUAGAUUGAAUAGUGACAUUUCAUUUUGAGUUUGGUCACGUUUUAGUUGAUCGAGGUUUUAAGGGUUUUAACCAGAUAUAAGAUUCAAAUUCGUGACAGAGUUCAAUUCAUUUGGUAUAAAUUUCCCUUUUAUGCAGUGACAAGCUGACAGUUGACAUACAAUGUGGUUUGUCAUUAUGUUAUAGGUUUUGUUUUUUGAUUAUGUUGAUCAAUGACAUCUAGCAUUGAGUUAUCCAAUUAAAGUUUGUGUUUCAUUCUGAAUUUUAAUUUGCAUCAAUGAAUUCACCCUUUUAUGAAGAAACCAAAAUUAUAAGCAAUUUCAAUAGCCUUAUUUUAGGGAAGGAUCUUCAAGAACAAGAACUUACGAUAUAUGUCAGACUUGAUUUACAGUUGCUUAUUUUUGAUUAGAAUCCAUUAAAUUUUCUGCAUCGUGCAUUAUGAAUCUUAAUUGGCAUCCAGCGAAUUCACCCUUUUAUCCCAUAGCAUCAAAUCCUAUACAAUCAAAUUUACUGAUUUACGGUUGUCAUGGAGUAGUACCUUUAAUUGACUUCUAUGAAGUCACCCUUUUACGGACUGUUGAAUAAAGAUAAAGUAUAAGGAACUAGAAUAGGUUUUAUUCACAAUCAGAAGUCAAAUUGAAAUCCUUCAAUCAGAUUUAGUGAUUUACAGUUCUUAUUGACUAGUUCUUUUAAUUGAUAUCUAUGAAGUCAGUUGUGUAGAGUUUCAGAUUUAUAUAGUUGGUCAGCAAAGCAUGUCAUCUGUCAAAUAAUUUUUUGUUUCAACAUUACCGUUCCCAAAGUUUCUGUAUUGAGUUCGGUUUGCCUAAUUUUUAUGAUAUAUUUACAGUAUCGUUUCUGAUUUUCUGUAUUGAGUUAGGUUUUGUUAGUUUAGGUUUGCUCCAUUUUCCUUUUACGUUUACUGUAUCGUUUCUGAUUUUCUGUAUUAAGUUAGGUUUUGUUAGUUUAGGUUUGCUUCAUUUUUUUUUACAUCUACUGUAUCAUUUUUGAUUUUCCGUCUUGACCUUUUACUGAGUUAUUCCAAAGUAUUUAAAAUGCUUCUGACAAUGGAUGUCGAAAUUACAUUGAAAGUGAGGUCAAUGACAAGAUGUGGUCAUGGACAUGAGCCCACUAUAAUUUUGCUAUAAUGUCACAAUGAAAAAAAAAAUCUUUGGUAAAUGACAUGCUUUGCUAAGGGGUCCAAUCCAAUUUGAUCCCAUCUAUUCCAGCCACCACUAUAUUUUCCCGGUCUCGUGCUAUGUUGACAAAAUCCCUAACAAAGAUAUCAUUGCUGAUUAAAUAUAUAUGCAGUCGGGCGCAGCCGUCGAAUCGAA